rnacentral:rRNA from 1 species
UUCGCCCUUAGAGGUCGAUUUUGGCUCAGGACGAACGCUGGCGGCGUGCCUAACACAUGCAAGUCGAGCGAUGAAAAAGAAUUAGAUCUCUUCGGAGUGACGCCUCUUUGGAUUAGCGGCGGACGGGUGAGUAACACGUGAGCAACCUGCCGUACACAUUGGGAUAGCCUCGGGAAACUGGGAUUAAUACCAAACGAAACAUAUUGAUAGCAUUAUCAAAAUGUCAAAGAUUUAUCGGUGUACGAUGGGCUCGCGUCUGAUUAGCUAGUUGGUGAGAUAAAAGCUCACCAAGGCAAUGAUCAGUAGCCGGCCUGAGAGGGUGAUCGGCCACAUUGGGACUGAGACACGGCCCAAACUCCUACGGGAGGCAGCAGUGGGGAAUAUUGCACAAUGGAGGAAACUCUGAUGCAGCGACGCCGCGUGAGUGAAGAAGGCCUUCGGGUCGUAAAACUUUGUCCUAGGGGACGAUAAUGACGGUACCCAAAAAACAAGCCACGGCUAACUACGUGCCAGCAGCCGCGGUAAUACGUAGGUGGCAAGCGUUGUCCGGAAUUACUGGGUGUAAGGGGCGUGUAGGCGGGGAUGCAAGUCAGAUGUGAAAUUCCGGGGCUCAACCCCGGCACUGCAUCUGAAACUGUGUCUCUUGAGUGCUGGAGAGGAAAGCGGAAUUCCUAGUGUAGCGGUGAAAUGCGUAGAUAUUAGGAGGAACACCAGUGGCGAAGGCGGCUUUCUGGACAGUAACUGACGCUGAGGCGCGAAAGCGUGGGUAGCGAACAGAAUUAGAUACCCUGGUAGUCCACGCCGUAAACGAUGGAUACUAGGUGUAGGAGGUAUCGACCCCUUCUGUGCCGGAGUUAACACAAUAAGCAUCCCACCUGGGGAGUGCGGCCGCAAGGUUGAAACUCAAAGGAAUUGACGGGGGCCCGCCCAAGCAGUGGAGUAUAUGGUUUAAUUCGAAGCAACGCGAAGAACCUUACCAGGGCUUGACAUACCAUUGACGUACUUAGAGAUAGGUAUUUCCUUCGGGACAAUGGAUACAGGUGGUGCAUGGUUGUCGUCAGCUCGUGUCGUGAGAUGUUGGGUUAAGUCCCGCAACGAGCGCAACCCCCCUUGUUAGUUGCCAUCAUUAAGUUGGGCACUCUAGCGAGACUGCCGGUGACAAAUCGGAGGAAGGUGGGGGGGACGUCAAAUCAUCAUGCCCCCUAUGUCUUGGGCUACACACGUACUACAAUGGCUAUUACAGAGGGAAGCGAAGCCGCGAGGUGGAGCAAAUCUCCAAAAAUAGUCCCAGUUCAGAUUGUAGGCUGAAACUCGCCUACAUGAAGUCGGAAUUGCUAGUAAUGGCAGGUCAGCAUACUGC